UCUGUGUUUCUUUUCCAAAACCCUAGAGAGCCUCCAUCUCCAUUCUCCAUCUCCAUUCCAAGCAACUGAUCUUCUCUUCAAAAUGUUUUCCUUUUAUGAAUGGUCCGCAACUUUGUGACCUAAAUUCUUCAGCCGCUUCAUUCUUCUCAUUCACACUUUCUCUUUUCGACAGUCCUUUCCUUCAUCCAGUUCUUCCUUCAUCGAUUCAUCAUUAUUAAUCAUAGUCAUCUACUAUCCAUACGAUUCAAGCAUCAGAAUGCCCUAGCGGCCACCUCCGGUGAUGACGGCGAGGGUUUCGACGAGUUGAUUUCAGAAAUGGAAAAUAAGUGAAAUUUAUUGAAGGGGCGAUUAUAUUAGCAGCUAAAGAACUGGAUGACUUAACUAAUAGCAGGUUUCAUUGUUCAGGUUGACUUCGGAAAUAGAGACGAUAAUAAUCAAAUCUAGGGCAUCCAUAGUUGUACUGUCGAAGAACUAUGCAAAAUCCAGAUGGUGCCUUAACGAGCUUUGGUUGAUCCUGGAGCAAAGGAGGGAGUGCAAUCAUUUCCUUUUACCUGUUUUUAUCACGUCAACCCAUCAGACGUUAGGAACCAAACAGGAAUAUUUUCUAUAGAAGGGUCAAAAGCGACAGUGGAUAGUGUGAAGCAGUCGAAGGCAGCAUUAACAGAGGUGGCCGAUUUGAGUGGCAUGGUUCUUUCUGGGGAGAAAGUGAAAAACUAACCGUUAACAACAUGAAUAAACCCAAGGUAUUCGAAAACAGUUCAGACGGGUGCUGGUAAAGAUGUAUCUAUUUGUCAUUGGCGGCGUCUUGAAGUUUUAUAAGGUUUUAACCUUGAUAAAUUAAGAAAACAGAGGUCACGUGUCUCAUAUGCAUCAAUAUCUGCAAUUGAAACUAUAGGUACGAGUUACUCUCGACACAUGGAAGAUGAGUAUCAGAAGUUUAUCCGGAGAAUGAACCCGCCUCGAGUCGUAAUCGACGAGGAAUCGUGUAAAAAUGGUACAAUCAUUCAAGUAUUAAAACUUUUUAAUUUUUUUAUCUUUUUGAAUGCACAUGUAA